UUAUUUCUCUUCUCCUCUCCCCCUUUCUUCUUCCUCUCUCUUUUCUUUCUCCUCCCGGCAGCUCCGCCCGUCGCCGCCCAGCGCCGCUGAGGCCAACCUACAAUCCACCCCAAUAUAUUACCAUCUCUUCCUCUCACUCCCCUCACUCCUAAUCCGAGUCCCAAAUCCUCAAAAACCUCUCUAAACACCGUGAAAUCGAAACCCUAGAUAGUCACCUCUUACUUCUCUCUUCGAUUUUUCGGCAAAUCAGCCACUACACACCCACAAAACCUAUAUAAAUGCAUAGAUCUCAAAGAGAUAUACACUUUCCCUAUUGCCCCACCCAAAAAUAACACACCGUCGCCGGCCAGCAACCCCACUGCCAACACCAAACGCAUCAACCUCUGUUUCUUUUCUAUUAUCGACUUAGAGGAGCUCGUUUCCUUCUAGCACGAUGACAAACUUAUUUGUUUUGGCGCUUGCUAAGAGAAAACGUGCGCUUCAAGGUCGAGCAACCACCAUCCGUCGCCCCCGUCAUCCGUCUCGUUGCUCGAAUUGGCAUUGAUUCCCUCUAUAUGGUAAAACAUCAAUUUCCUUUCCCUAUUUUUAUCUUUUCUGGUUUUUUGCUUUUGUUUUAGCAUUAGUUCUAAGGUUUAAUUUCCAUUAAUGUUUCUAUUAUAUAUGUGCAAUAAGUAUUAGUUUUUAAUUACAUUUUACUUUAUAAAUGUGAAUUUCAGUUCUUCGACCUAGCCAGUUGAGUAGUUCGUUAUUGUCUGUUAGUUCUGAUUUUUGGUUCUUCGACCUAACCGAUCGACUAUUUUGUGUGGAUUUGUUAAGUUUGAACUUUCAGUUCUUCGACCUAGCCGGUCGAUUAUUUUUUGUUUGUCUGUUAGUUCUGAUUUUUGGUUCUUCGACCUAGUCGAUCGACUAUUUUGUAUAGAGUAUUUAAGUCUGAAUUUUCAGUUCUUUGACCUAGUCGGUCGAAUAGUUAAGUCUUUAUGUUAAUUUCAUGAAAAAACCAAAAGAUUGGUUCAAUUGUUUAUAUUAUUAGUCGUAUAUUUAGUUGUUAUUAAUCGUGAUAGUUUAGCGAUGUUCGUUUAAUUUCUGUUUCAAGCAUUAGCUUGUGAAAUUCAGUUGUUAUUCCAUAUUAGUUUGCACAAAUCGAAUUCAUUCUAAUCUAGUUUGUCUGAAUACUUAGUUCAAUUGCAUUUUGAGUCUUGUUUCUACUUUGCUAGUUCAUAUUUGGUUAGAGUUUAAGUGUAUAAGCUGAAUUUCAAUCAUGUAUAGAUAAAAGCUGAAUACUUGAGUUUAAAGUACGUGUUUGUUGGGUAUUUUACUGUUUAAACAUGCUGGAAAUGCAACUACUCUGUUUUGUGUCAGAAUUUGGUGAAACAAUGACUGUUUUGGCACAUAAAAGUUAGUCCUUUUGGACAGAUUUUUGGUGAUUCAAAAUCUGUCCAAAAAGACCUAUUUUUAUUACUUAAAGAGGUCAUUCUUCACACUAAAGGGGGGCUCUAUCUUACAUUAGAGAUCACCUCUUACACUCUAAAAAAGACAUAUAUCUUUGAGAAAAAUCAGCGUUUAAGAUAGAUAGCAAGCUGAAAUUUCAGAUGUUGGUGAGUAUUAUUUGAGUGCAAAAACUCUGACAAAAAAUAGAAACAUGCAUUAGGCAAUGUGUGAAGUUGAUAGCUACGAGUUUCAAGCAUCUUUGUUGAGUUUUCUGGGUUGUCUUAACACUUGAGUUGCUGUUGUUUCUACUGUAUUUGCUGCUAAAUUUCUGUUGUUGCACUGCUAUUUUAUCAUUCUGCAAACUAGGUAACUUUAAAAUUCUUAUAUUGCAGAUUCUUGAUGGUAAUAAGAAGCAUUUGAUUCCGGUUUGGUUGAUGGAACAUGUUAGAUUUGAUUUUGUUUCAAGAUGAAUGUCAUAUUGCUGUUUUCAUCAUGUAAAUAUGUUAGAAAUUAGUUAAAUUAUCGUUUUCUUCUUUAUAUACAUGGUUGAAAUUGUAUUUUGUUAAGUUUACUUAGUUUAAGGAAAAGAUAAAGAGCUC
rnacentral:lncRNA from 1 species